rnacentral:rRNA from 1 species
GUGGGGAAUCUUGCGCAAUGGGCGAAAGCCUGACGCAGCCAUGCCGCGUGAAUGAUGAAGGUCUUAGGAUUGUAAAAUUCUUUCACCGGGGACGAUAAUGACGGUACCCGGAGAAGAAGCUCCGGCUAACUUCGUGCCAGCAGCCGCGGUAAUACGACGGGGGCUAGCGUUGCUCGGAAUUACUGGGCGUAAAGGGCGCGUAGGCGGACAGCUUAGUCAGAGGUGAAAGCCCAGGGCUCAACCUUGGAAUUGCCUUUGAUACUGGCUGUCUUGAGUUUGGGAGAGGUGAGUGGAACUCCGAGUGUAGAGGUGAAAUUCGUAGAUAUUCGGAAGAACACCAGUGGCGAAGGCGACUCACUGGCCCAAUACUGACGCUGAGGCGCGAAAGCGUGGGGAGCAAACAGGAUUAGAAACCCCGGUAGUCC